CCUACGGGUGGCAGCAGUGAGGCAUAUUGGUCAAUGGACGAGAGUCUGAACCAGCCAAGUAGCGUGAAGGAUGACUGCCCUAUGGGUUGUAAACUUCUUUUAUAUGGGAAUAAAAUGUUCCACGUGUGGGAUUUUGUAUGUACCAUAUGAAUAAGGAUCGGCUAACUCCGUGCCAGCAGCCGCGGUAAUACGGAGGCUCCGAGCGUUAUCCGGAUUUAUUGGGAUUAAAGGGAGCGUAGGUGGAUUGUUAAGUCAGUUGUGAAAGUUUGCGGCUCAACCGUAAAAUUGCAGUUGAAACUGGCAGUCUUGAGUACAGUAGAGGUGGGCGGAAGUCGUGGUGUAGCGGUGAAAUGCUUAGAUAUCACGAAGAACUCCGAUUGCGAAGGCAGUUCACUGGACUGCAACUGACACUGAGGCUCGAAAGUGUGGGUAUCAAACAGGAUUAGAUACCCGGGUAGUC
rnacentral:rRNA from 1 species